GAAAAUGGAAGGGGGAAGGAAAGCCCACAGUGCUGGAUAUCGGCUCCCUGUGCUCAGCUCCAGCUGUUAGCCCCUUCCUGCAAAGGGAGGAGGCCUUGUGCCUCUGUUCUAUCAGGGACUGCAUAGCUCAUGAGAAAAGCAGGAACGCAAUAGAUUGACUGAUGCACAUGAAACACAAAGCAAGAUGAAAGAAGAUGAUAGGCAGCAAAUGGAGCAUCCUCUGUAGCUGCCCACAGAAGGGCCAAUGCAGCAACAGCACAGGCUGUGUAGUGAUGGGGAGUCCCAGCUUCAGGAUACUGCCUCACUACAAGGCUGCUCUGAUUGUGUAUAUAGAUGCCAGAUGUCCCACAUGGGCAGGAACAGGCAGAUGCUGAGAUGCUUUCAGUGCUUGAAACUACAGGAAAAGCCAGAGUGAAGUACUAAAUCAGCUCAGUAUAAAUUGCUGUUGGAACUGUACAGGUUUGGCAUCUUUUUCUCAGUCUCUGAAGGAGCCUCAAACUCCCUUCCUUGUUUUCAUAAGCAUUCUAUCAAAUGCAGCAUACAGUGUUUGAUUGUACAAGUUCUGCAGCCUAACCAAAUCUGACUCUAGUCUGUCUUCAGCAAGUUGGCUAGGUUCCAGAUGUCUCUCAUGACUUUUCUAUAGGCUUUCCGUGUUGUGGCAAUUACAGCUUCGAUUUUCUUCUUGAAACUAGAUCUUGGUUUGGUGUGCAUCACUGAUGCUGCACUGAACUCAAAAUUACUU